rnacentral:rRNA from 1 species
UACGGAGGGUGCGAGCGUUGUCCGGAAUCACUGGGCGUAAAGGGCGCGUAGGUGGCGCGGGAAGUCAACGGUGAAAGUUCGGGGCUCAACCCUGAAUCGGCCGUCGAUACUCCCGGGCUCGAGCACUGUAGAGGCAGAUGGAAUUCCGGGUGUAGCGGUGUAAUGCGUAGAGAUCCGGAAGAACACCGGUGGCGAAGGCGGUCUGCUGGGCAGUUGCUGACACUGAGGCGCGACAGCGUGGGGAGCAAACAGG